UGACGCAAAUCAAAAACAUGCACAGUGUGAGCUGCACAUCAAGUCUGAUCUGUAUCUCUGUGUAGGAAGGAAUCUUGUUCUUUUUCAUUCUUUUUCGUUUCAUUCAUCAUUUGAGAACCUGUAAAGCUGAGCUGUAUCAACAUCCUAAAAGCACUUGGUAAAAAGACCUAGCAUGAUGAACACUCUCCUUAACAUAUUUGUAUAUCUAAUGAUGAUAACAGUUGUCUGUCUUGGUGAAACUGUUCUCCAGACGCCUGAAGAUCUACUGAAGAAACAAGAUGAAUCUGCUGUGAUCACUUGUACUCACAAGAUACCGAGCUAUGACCGAAUACUGUGGUACAAACAAAGUCAGGACUCAUUGGGCUUAAAGUUGAUGGGAUACCUUAUUGUUGAGUCUAAGAAUAAAGAGCCUGGAUUUGAAAACAAGAUCAACUUGGAAGGAGAUGGAAGAAAUAAAGGCAUUCUGACUCUCAGCAACCUCUCACCGACUGACAGUGCAGUGUAUUUCUGUGCAGCAUAUUACACAGUGCUCAGAGUCACCUCUGUCUGAUACAAAAACCUCUUUUAAACUGCUUAUACUUCAAAAGCGUAUAUUUUAUCAUGUUCAUCUCCACAUCUGCAGG